GAUGAACGCUGGCGGCGUGCCUAAUACAUGCAAGUCGAGCGAACGGACGAGAAGCUUGCUUCUCUGAUGUUAGCGGCGGACGGGUGAGUAACACGUGGAUAACCUACCUAUAAGACUGGGAUAACUUCGGGAAACCGGAGCUAAUACCGGAUAAUACUUUGAACCGCAUGGUUCAAAAGUGAAAGACGGUCUUGCUGUCACUUAUAGAUGGAUCCGCGCUGCAUUAGCUAGUUGGUAAGGUAACGGCUUACCAAGGCAACGAUGCAUAGUCGACCUGAGAGGGUGAUCGGCCACACUGGAACUGAGACACGGUCCAGACUCCUACGGGAGGCAGCAGUAGGGAAUCUUCCGCAAUGGGCGAAAGCCUGACGGAGCAACGCCGCGUGAGUGAUGAAGGUCUUCGGAUCGUAAAACUCUGUUAUUAGGGAAGAACAUAUGUGUAAGUAACUGUGCACAUCUUGACGGUACCUAAUCAGAAAGCCACGGCUAACUACGUG
rnacentral:rRNA from 1 species